AUUGAACGCUGGCGGCAUGCUUUACACAUGCAAGUCGAACGGCAACACGGACUUCGGCCUGGUGGCGAGUGGCGAACGGGUGAGUAGUACAUCGGAACGUACCCAGUAAUGGGGAAUAACUAUCCGAAAGGAAGGCUAAUACCGUAUACGCCCUACGGGGGAAAGAGGGGGAUCGCAAGACCUCUUGUUAUUGGAGCGGCCGAUGGCUGAUUAGCUAGUUGGUGAGGUAAAGGCUCACCAAGGCGACGAUCAGUAGCGGGUCUUAGAGGACGAUCGGCCACACUGGAACUGAGACACGGUCCAGACUCCUACGGGAGGCAGCAGUGGGGAAUCUUGGACAAUGGGCGCAAGCCUGAUCCAGCAAUGCCGCGUGCGUGAAGAAGGCCUUCGGGUUGUAAAGCGCUUUUGUCAGGGAGCAAAUCCUUGUGGCUAAUACCCACCGGGGAUGAGAGUACCUGAAGAAUAAGGACCGGCUAACUACGUGCCAGCAGCCGCCGUAAAAC
rnacentral:rRNA from 1 species